GGAGACCCGCGACCAUGGAGAUAUAAACAGCUUUUUAUAAGGCCCUUUUAACAGUGUCCCUGUGAUGGACUUACAACCUGUCCAAGGUGCACCCUGCCUCUCACACAGUGACUGCUAAACAUGAGCACCAGCAACCUGGAAAGGAAGAAGUGGGUAAAGAUAAUUAAUGGAUGGAAAAACAGCGAAACUGCUUUUUCUGUAAAUAAAAACACUAUUUGCUGAUUGUGUAAUGUAAACACUUUUUCUUUACUUUAAAAAAUGUAUAAAUAUAAUGAUCAAUGCACUUUUGUACACUUAUCAACUAAACAUUUUGGCACAAUGCAAAAUACAUGAGUUUAUAACCAGGUACAUAAAAACUACGUUUUGCAGAAUUUUAUUAUGUAUCAGCAGAAGAUCAGUCACCACUGCACUGUGGCUCAAAAUGACCUGUGCAAUCAUACAUAAAGUACAUUUACCUCUUUAUAAUGACUUACACGUACUUUAAACUAAAACUUUUGUACAAAGUUAACAACAUUGAUUCAAACAAAUACUAAUAAGAAUCUAGACAUUAAAAGUUAUUCUGUUACACUUGGACUUCAUGUUGUUCUGAUUGGUCUGAUCAGACAUGUUCAUCAGUCAUUUCAGCAUGUUAACAAGCAUUAAAUAUCUUGUAUCACAGAUAWUAAAACAAAGCGUGUACAUCUUU